rnacentral:rRNA from 1 species
AGUAGCUCCUUUGACGUNGGCGGCGGACGNAGAUGUAACACGUGGAUNACCNACCUAUAAGACUGGGAUAACUUCGGGAAACCGGAGCUAAUACCGGAUAAGAUUUUGAACCGCNUGGUUCAAUANUAAAAGACGGCCUUGCUGUCACUNAUAGAUGGAUCCGCGCCGUAUUAGUUAGUUGGUAAGGUAACGGCUUACCAAGGCAACNAUANGUAGCNGACCUGAGAGGGUGUUCGGCCACACUGGAACUGAGACACGGUCCAGACUCCUACGAGAGGCAGCAGUAGGGAAUCUUCCGCAAUNGGCGAUAGCCUGACGGAGCAACGCCGCGUGAGUGAUGAAGGUCUUCGGAUCGUAAAACUCUGUUAUCAGGGAAGCACAAACGUGUAAGUAACUGUGCACUCUUGACGGUACGCUGAUCAGAAAGCC